UCUUUGACAUUUUAUUUACAAUAUAUUAAUAUUCUCUGUAUUUAAUCUGUGUUACAUCGCUCGUAAUCAGUUCAGGCACUGUGCACACACAUCCGUCAAAGCGCCACACAGAACAUUUAGGUACAACAAAACAUAAUAUUACACAUUCAAUACCUCACUUUUUCAUAUGAAAUCUAGAUAAACCAAUAAACUCUGAACGGCUUGUGUCGAAAGGAGCUCAUUCGCACGAUAAAUCUCCUACGUUGCUUUAAAUUUAUGUAUAACCUAUUUAGAUACAUACAUAAAAAAAUUAAUAAAAUUCUUACAUUUAUUGCACUAGAAGAUGGCCGCGACUUCGUCCGCCUGAUUUUGGUUUCAAAAAUCCCUUGGAAGCUCUGAUUUUCCGGGAUAAAAAGUUCCCUUUUUAAAUUUCCGGGAUGCAAGCUAGAUACCUCUGUACCAAAUUUCAUCAAAAUUGGUUCAACUGUUGGGCCGUGAAAAGCUAGUAGACAGACAGACAGAUACACUUUCGCAUUUAUAAAUAUUAGUGUGGAAGAAACAACUCAUUUUAGCACAAACACUGUUGUGAAUUGGUAAAUCUGCACGGCAAGACAUAUUCGAAGGCUUGUGUAUGUAUGAUUACAUAUGAGUACGCAUAACUACAAAAAUCUACAUGCUACUUACUAUUCAAGUGCAAAAUUCAAUUAAGAAAAAAAAGUGCAAAAUUCAAUUAAGUAAAAAUUAAGGAAAAAGUGAGGUCAUUGGAUAAACGGGACAAGUUUGUAAUUUUAAAUUGAGAUUUUAAACCACAAACUCAUAAGAUGAUGCUCCUGAACGAAACUUGAGUUAAUUUUUAGUACAAUAUUAUUAUCUAACAAUUAACACAAAAUGGGAACACCAAAAGUUUAUAUUAUUGACUAUAUUAUAUUACUUUAUUAAUAAACGCGGAAAAGCAACAGAUAACUUGAAAAUAUUAGAAUACAUAAUAAAAAGGGAUGAACCACCAUAGAAAGUACUCGUACAUAAUAAUAUGGUAUUUGCCUGUGUCAAAAAUAAGUUAUUUUUUAGGAAUUGUUAAAUAGAAGGUCUUCCAAAAUAGGUAAAAUCCACGUAGGUAUAUUGUUAGUUUUAAGUGUAAUAACCAUUUUUAAUUAUCGAUUAAACUGAAAAAGCACGUCAAAUCAUUGUGACGACACAUGCCAGUAUUUCUCCCAUACUAAGCGCGUGCUUUGUCCUUUGACUAGUUGUCAAACACCUGAUUCAAAUUGAAUGGUCUGUAGCGAUAAGUGGAACUAUUCCGCGUUUAUUAAUAAGGCAGCGUGUCUCAUUUAUAAAAAGACCUAUUUACGCAAACUAAAACAAAUUCACACAUAAUGACAGUUUUGAGAAAAAGCAGUUUUUGUCCAAAUUGUGU